CCCAAAGCGUCCGCCACACCGGCAACUCGCGAAGGAGAGGUCGAGGGAGUAGGAGAACAGGCGACGGACGCGCAAUGGAGUUCCUCAUGCAGGCAAUUAGGAGGUAUGUCGACCGAGUGAUUUGUUAUUUUACGCCCUAGCUUGCGAUUUGAAGACUGGAGCUCAGGCGGCCAUAGAUCGACUCUGAUUGAAGAGGCCGGGGAGAGUCUGGUGCGGGAAAGUACGUUGGCGGAUGGUACGAGGUGGGAGUUGGUGGAGCUGGUGCUGCCGGAGGGCAUGGGUGUGAGCGGCGUAGGGCGGAUCUGUGGGGCGUCUGGACCACCGACAAUCAGCAGAGAAAGUCGAAUCUGCAGCGCUGUUCAAGCGGCAGCAGGUAGAAGGGACCGUUUGGCCUCUGACUUCUGCAAUGUCGAUGGGGAAGAUGAAUCGCCAGGCUGUUGGUUGGGA
rnacentral:lncRNA from 1 species